rnacentral:rRNA from 1 species
AUUGAACGCUGGCGGCAUGCCUUACACAUGCAAGUCGAACGGCAGCACGGGUGCUUGCACCUGGUGGCGAGUGGCGAACGGGUGAGUAAUAUAUCGGAACGUACCUUAUCGUGGGGGAUAACGCAGCGAAAGCUGCGCUAAUACCGCAUACGCCCUGAGGGGGAAAGCGGGGGACCGUAAGGCCUCGCGCGAUUAGAGCGGCCGAUAUCUGAUUAGCUUGUUGGUGGGGUAAAAGCCCACCAAGGCGACGAUCAGUAGCUGGUCUGAGAGGACGAUCAGCCACACUGGGACUGAGACACGGCCCAGACUCCUACGGGAGGCAGCAGUGGGGAAUUUUGGACAAUGGGGGCAACCCUGAUCCAGCAAUGCCGCGUGAGUGAAGAAGGCCU